rnacentral:rRNA from 1 species
UACAGAGGUCUCAAGCGUUGUUCGGAUUCAUUGGGCGUAAAGGGUGCGUAGGCGGCGGGGCAAGUCGGAUGUGAAAUCUCAGGGCUCAACCCUGAAACUGCAUUCGAUACUGCCUUGCUCGAGGACUGGAGAGGAGACUGGAAUUUACGGUGUAGCGGUGAAAUGCGUAGAUAUCGUAAGGAAGACCAGUGGCGAAGGCGGGUCUCUGGACAGUUCCUGACGCUGAGGCACGAAGGCCAGGGGAGCAAACGGG